UACGGAGGGUGCAAGCGUUGUCCGGAUUUAUUGGGUUAAAGGGUGCGUAGGCGGUUAAUUAAGUCAGUGGUGAAAUCCUGGAGCUCAACUUCAGAACUGCCAUUGAUACUGGUUGACUUGAGUACAGACGAGGUUGGCGGAAUUGAUGGUGUAGCGGUGAAAUGCAUAGAUACCAUCAAGAACACCGAUUGCGAAGGCAGCUAACUAGGCUGUAACUGACGCUGAGGCACGAAAGUGUGGGGAUCAAACAGG
rnacentral:rRNA from 1 species